AGGGAAUCUUCCACAAUGGACGAAAGUCUGAUGGAGCAACGCCGCGUGAGUGAAGAAGGUUUUCGGAUCGUAAAGCUCUGUUGUUAGGGACGAAGGGUAAGAAUCAUAAUAAGGUUUUUAUUUGACGGUACCUAACGAGGAAGCCACGGCUAACUACGUGCCAGCAGCCGCGGUAAUACGUAGGCGGCAAGCGUUGUCCGGAAUUAUUGGGCGUAAAGGGAGCGCAGGCGGGAAACUAAGCGGAUCUUAAAAGUGCGGGGCUCAACCCCGUGAUGGGGUCCGAACUGGUUUUCUUGAGUGCAGGAGAGGAAAGCGGAAUUCCCAGUGUAGCGGUGAAAUGCGUAGAUAUUGGGAAGAACACCAGUGGCGAAGGCGGCUUUCUGGACUGUAACUGACGCUGAGGCUCGAAAGCUAGGGUAGCGAACG
rnacentral:rRNA from 1 species